GCACAGCAUUUGGACUCAGUUGGUAGAGCAUGAGACUGUUAAUCUCAGGGUUGUGGGUUCAAGCUCCAGGCUGGGUG